rnacentral:rRNA from 1 species
GAUUAUGGCUCAGAACGAACGCUGGUGGCGUGUCUUAUACAUGCAAGUCGAGCGAGGCAGCAAUGCCGAGCGGCGAACGGGUGAGUAACGCGUAAGCAAUCUGCCCCAUAUCAGGAAAUACCCGUGCCAACGCGCGGUUAAUGUCCAGGAGAGUGGCCAGCUGCAUGGCUGGUUGACUAGAGAUUUAUCGGUAUGGGAUGAGCUUGCGUCCGAUUAGCUAGUUGGCGGGGCAACGGCCCACCAAGGCGACGAUCGGUAGCCGGCCUGAGAGGGUGAUCGGCCACAUUGGGACUGAGAUACGGCCCAGACUCCUACGGGAGGCAGCAGUAGGGAAUAUUGCACAAUGGGGGAAACCCUGAUGCAGCAACGCCACGUGUGGGAAGAAGCAUUUCGGUGUGUAAACCACUGUCAUGAGGGAAUAAGGCCCGCCUUCGGACGGGAUUGAAUGUACCUUGAGAGGAAGCACCGGCAAACUUCGUGCCAGCAGCCGC